CUCCUAAAAGCAAGGCAGUAGCAUUGACCUGUCUAGCCAGAAAGGAGUGGUGAGAGAUGGCAGUGAUCUGGGGGAGUGAAACUGAGGAGAAAAAGGAGCCAAUGUCACUGUGGUUGAACAGCAUCAUUUUACAUGAGCCUUCAGGUGAAUCCUGGGACCCAGUUCAGAUCAUCAGUAUUUGCCGUCUGGGCCCUUCCACCUGUAGUUCACCAGCUGAAACCAUCCCAACAGCGUGAUUAACCUUCCAGCUGCUCAUCAAAGGGGCUGAAGAUUACAUAAGCAUUGGAGGCUGUACCAGUUAUCCCCAGGAGACACAUCCUUCUCAGACUCAGUGCAUCACCCUGUCUUCAGGACAUCCGUUCCCAGCCACCCAUCUCCUAAAAAUCUCCCUGUCAUCUUUGUCUUUGUGUCUGUCACCACUAGAGGUGAUGUUUAGACUCGCACUGCCCUGUCAUGUUCAGACCAUCAGCAGCUCCUGCUCUGUGUCCUUCCUGUCUGCCUUUUGGUCCUUCACCACAAGCAUCAAGCUGGCCGCACCUUGUGACACUGCACAACUCAGUCUCUUCCCAGUCCCUGUUUUCCUCCUCUUCUCCUCUCUUUGAAGGUGAUAGCUCCCCUCUUGGCUGAAUGCAUAUGUCCCUAUUAGUGCUGUGCUGACAUGAGCCAGUAAAAUGUUGAAAAUAUUAAAAAAGGCCAACGAUUUUCAGGAACUACAAAGCACUGAAGACCAGCUACCACCACUAGCAUGUGGUCAGAUGGGGUGGAAGUGGCUUGUAAUACUGUUGUGAAUACUGAGACAUUCACCACUCUAUGAGUGCUAUUUGGCCACCACUUGCUAGCAAGAGUGAAGACACAGACGUUGAGUUGAGGCAAGAACAGCCAAUGUCUGGAAAUUGCUAUCAGAGACUUCUGAUGGAGAAAACUGGCUAAAAGAGACAGAGAAAUCUGAAACGGGGUUGCAUGCAACGAGGUUAUCCUUCAGCUGUGAUAUGCGGCAUGCUUAAAGUCAAAUAAAAGUUUCUAUUAUUGUAAAAUUUUCUUGUGC
rnacentral:lncRNA from 1 species